UUGCCAGCCCACUUGGUAUAUAUGUCUUGCAAAAGGCCUGACCUUCCAGGUUACAGUGAGCAAAGAAAAAAAAAAGGCCAUCAAUAGUUCCUGUUUCCCUGGGAGCCUAAAAGCCUCAUCUUUUAAAUGUCUACCAGUUCUGUUUCUGGUUCUCCCCUCAGUGAUGGAUAUCCAUAUGAAAUCAAAUUGUGCACCCAAAGUUUGCCUGUUCCCAGUUGCCCAUUAUUUCUUCCAGUAUAAGCAGCACUGCCUCCAAAGUUGGGGCUCGUACCUAAGUGUGUGUCAUACCCUGCAUCCAGGAGCCAAGCACAUCCUUUGAGAGCCCAGGUAACAUACCAGAACUGCAGCCACACCAGCAGCCUCUGGCGGUAAACCUGCAGCCAGUACCAGGACCACCUGAGUCAGACUUACCAGUGCCUACUCCCAGAGAGAGAUACCUGAAAAAAGAGAGAAAACAGUGUUCUUUGCAGUUACAUAGGAAGCAAGCUGCUAACUGGGAGCACCUAUGAGACCUUGAUGGGCUAUAAAUAUCCCAGCACCUCCUUCAGC